UACGGGGGGGGCAAGCGUUGUUCGGAAUUACUGGGCGUAAAGGGCGCGUAGGCGGUCUGUUAAGUCGGAUGUGAAAACUCUGGGCUCAACCCAGAGCCUGCAUCCGAAACUGGCAGGCUAGAGUUCUGGAGGGGUAGCGGAAUUCCUGGUGUAGCGGUGAAAUGCGUAGAUAUCAGGAGGAACACCGGUGGCGAAGGCGGCUACCUGGACAGAAACUGACGCUGAGGCGCGAAAGCGUGGGGAGCGAACAGG
rnacentral:rRNA from 1 species